rnacentral:rRNA from 1 species
UACGUAGGGUGCGAGCGUUGUUCGGAAUUAUUGGGCGUAAAGAGCUCGUAGGCGGUGUGUCGCGUCGGCCGUGAAAACCUGCAGCUUAACUGUGGGCGUGCGGUCGAUACGGGCAUCACUGGAGUUCGGCAGGGGAGACUGGAAUUCCUGGUGUAGCGGUGAAAUGCGCAGAUAUCAGGAGGAACACCGGUGGCGAAGGCGGGUCUCUGGGCCGAUACUGACGCUGAGGAGCGAAAGCGUGGGGAGCGAUCCGG